rnacentral:rRNA from 1 species
AAUAGAUACCCGGUAGUCCACGCCGUAAACGAUGAAUACUAGGUGUAGGGGUUGUCAUGACCUCUGUGCCGCCGCAAACGCAUUAAGUAUUCCGCCUGGGGAGUACGGUCGCAAGAUUAAAACUCAAAGGAAUUGACGGGGGCCCGCACAAGCAGCGGAGCAUGUGGUUUAAUUCGAAGCAACGCGAAGAACCUUACCUAGACUUGACAUCUCCUGAAUUACUCUUAAUCGAGGAAGUCCCUUCGGGGACAGGAAGACAGGUGGUGCAUGGUUGUCGUCAGCUCGUGUCGUGAGAUGUUGGGUUAAGUCCCGCAACGAGCGCAACCCUUAUUGUUAGUUGCUACCAUUAAGUUGAGCACUCUAGCAAGACUGCCCGGGUUAACCGGGAGGAAGGUGGGGAUGACGUCAAAUCAUCAUGCCCCUUAUGUCUAGGGCUACACACGUGCUACAAUGGCAAGUACAAAAGAUGCAAUACCGCAAGGUGAGCUAAACUUAAAAACUUGUCUCAGUUCGGAUUGUAGGCUGAAACUCGCCUACA